CAGAACCAGGCUCAGAAAUCCUAUCUUUGUGCAAAGGUAUAGCAUGUGUUGUGGCAGAGCAAGCUUCCCCCACAUGAUGUCUCCACCAAUGUGCCACAACCCUGACAUGGUGGGACCACAUCUAGGAAAUAGAGAUUAGUUUAUUUUCCUUGCCUGUUCAUUCUUUGGAAUCU
rnacentral:sRNA from 1 species